rnacentral:rRNA from 1 species
GGGUUGUGAGGUUAAGCGACUAAGCGUACACGGUGGAUGCCCUGGCAGUCAGAGGCGAUGAAGGACGUGCUAAUCUGCGAUAAGCGUCGGUGAGGUGAUAUGAACCGUUAUAACCGGCGAUUUCCGAAUGGGGAAACCCAGUGUGAUUCGUCACACUAUCAUUAACUGAAUCCAUAGGUUAAUGAGGCGAACCGGGGGAACUGAAACAUCUAAGUACCCCGAGGAAAAGAAAUCAACCGAGAUUCCCCCAGUAGCGGCGAGCGAACGGGGAGCAGCCCAGAGCCUGAAUCAGUGUGUGUGUUAGUGGAAGCGUCUGGAAAGGCGCGCGAUACAGGGUGACAGCCCCGUACACAAAAAUGCACAUGCUGUGAGCUCGAUGAGUAGGGCGGGACACGUGGUAUCCUGUCUGAAUAUGGGGGGACCAUCCUCCAAGGCUAAAUACUCCUGACUGACCGAUAGUGAACCAGUACCGUGAGGGAAAGGCGAAAAGAACCCCGGCGAGGGGAGUGAAAAAGAACCUGAAACCGUGUACGUACAAGCAGUGGGAGCACAGAGCAAUCUGUGUUACUGCGUACCUUUUGUAUAAUGGGUCAGCGACUUAUAUUCUGUAGCAAGGUUAACCGAAUAGGGGAGCCGAAGGGAAACCGAGUCUUAACUGGGCGUUAAGUUGCAGGGUAUAGACCCGAAACCCGGUGAUCUAGCCAUGGGCAGGUUGAAGGUUGGGUAACACUAACUGGAGGACCGAACCGACUAAUGUUGAAAAAUUAGCGGAUGACUUGUGGCUGGGGGUGAAAGGCCAAUCAAACCGGGAGAUAGCUGGUUCUCCCCGAAAGCUAUUUAGGUAGCGCCUCGUGAAUUCAUCUCCGGGGGUAGAGCACUGUUUCGGCAAGGGGGUCAUCCCGACUUACCAACCCGAUGCAAACUGCGAAUACCGGAGAAUGUUAUCACGGGAGACACACGGCGGGUGCUAACGUCCGUCGUGAAGAGGGAAACAACCCAGACCGCCAGCUAAGGUCCCAAAGUCAUGGUUAAGUGGGAAACGAUGUGGGAAGGCCCAGACAGCCAGGAUGUUGGCUUAGAAGCAGCCAUCAUUUAAAGAAAGCGUAAUAGCUCACUGGUCGAGUCGGCCUGCGCGGAAGAUGUAACGGGGCUAAACCAUGCACCGAAGCUGCGGCAGCGACGCUUAUGCGUUGUUGGGUAGGGGAGCGUUCUGUAAGCCUGUGAAGGUGUGCUGUGAGGCAUGCUGGAGGUAUCAGAAGUGCGAAUGCUGACAUAAGUAACGAUAAAGCGGGUGAAAAGCCCGCUCGCCGGAAGACCAAGGGUUCCUGUCCAACGUUAAUCGGGGCAGGGUGAGUCGACCCCUAAGGCGAGGCCGAAAGGCGUAGUCGAUGGGAAACAGGUUAAUAUUCCUGUACUUGGUGUUACUGCGAAGGGGGGACGGAGAAGGCUAUGUUGGCCGGGCGACGGUUGUCCCGGUUUAAGCGUGUAGGCUGGUUUUCCAGGCAAAUCCGGAAAAUCAAGGCUGAGGCGUGAUGACGAGGCACUACGGUGCUGAAGCAACAAAUGCCCUGCUUCCAGGAAAAGCCUCUAAGCAUCAGGUAACAUCAAAUCGUACCCCAAACCGACACAGGUGGUCAGGUAGAGAAUACCAAGGCGCUUGAGAGAACUCGGGUGAAGGAACUAGGCAAAAUGGUGCCGUAACUUCGGGAGAAGGCACGCUGAUAUGUAGGUGAGGUCCCUCGCGGAUGGAGCUGAAAUCAGUCGAAGAUACCAGCUGGCUGCAACUGUUUAUUAAAAACACAGCACUGUGCAAACACGAAAGUGGACGUAUACGGUGUGACGCCUGCCCGGUGCCGGAAGGUUAAUUGAUGGGGUUAGCGGUAACGCGAAGCUCUUGAUCGAAGCCCCGGUAAACGGCGGCCGUAACUAUAACGGUCCUAAGGUAGCGAAAUUCCUUGUCGGGUAAGUUCCGACCUGCACGAAUGGCGUAAUGAUGGCCAGGCUGUCUCCACCCGAGACUCAGUGAAAUUGAACUCGCUGUGAAGAUGCAGUGUACCCGCGGCAAGACGGAAAGACCCCGUGAACCUUUACUAUAGCUUGACACUGAACAUUGAGCCUUGAUGUGUAGGAUAGGUGGGAGGCUUUGAAGUGUGGACGCCAGUCUGCAUGGAGCCGGCCUUGAAAUACCACCCUUUAAUGUUUGAUGUUCUAACGUGGACCCGUGAUCCGGGUUGCGGACAGUGUCUGGUGGGUAGUUUGACUGGGGCGGUCUCCUCCUAAAGAGUAACGGAGGAGCACGAAGGUUGGCUAAUCCUGGUCGGACAUCAGGAGGUUAGUGCAAUGGCAUAAGCCAGCUUGACUGCGAGCGUGACGGCGCGAGCAGGUGCGAAAGCAGGUCAUAGUGAUCCGGUGGUUCUGAAUGGAAGGGCCAUCGCUCAACGGAUAAAAGGUACUCCGGGGAUAACAGGCUGAUACCGCCCAAGAGUUCAUAUCGACGGCGGUGUUUGGCACCUCGAUGUCGGCUCAUCACAUCCUGGGGCUGAAGUAGGUCCCAAGGGUAUGGCUGUUCGCCAUUUAAAGUGGUACGCGAGCUGGGUUUAGAACGUCGUGAGACAGUUCGGUCCCUAUCUGCCGUGGGCGCUGGAGAACUGAGGGGGGCUGCUCCUAGUACGAGAGGACCGGAGUGGACGCAUCACUGGUGUUCGGGUUGUCAUGCCAAUGGCACUGCCCGGUAGCUAAAUGCGGAAGAGAUAAGUGCUGAAAGCAUCUAAGCACGAAACUUGCCCCGAGAUGAGUUCUCCCUGACUCCUUGAGAGUCCUGAAGGAACGUUGAAGACGACGACGUUGAUAGGCCGGGUGUGUAAGCGCAGCGAUGCGUUGAGCUAACCGGUACUAAUGAACCGUGAGGCUUAACCUUACAACGCCGAAGCUGUU